rnacentral:lncRNA from 10 species
CUCAGAAAACUAAUUCUCACACAAAAUAAGAUAAUAUUUUUUCACAAACUGUUAUUUUGCCUACAAGUGGACCAAACUCCAGUGGUACCCAUGGAAUAUAUCAUAGCCCUCAAACACUGUGUACAACAAUGACUUUGGUCUUCUCUUAAAAAUAAUAAUAAUAUAGUAUUUUUAAAAUGACUCGUCAUUAUUAUGAUAAUAACAUUAAUCUAAUCGGCUUUUAAAUAAACCAGUCAUCUUUAUACAGAUUAAUGCUUAAUAAUGUAAUUCAUAUGACUUAGACUUUUUUCUUGCAAAAGUGGUUUGCAAAUCUUAAUAGUUAGGAAUAUAUAUUCACUGCUCUCCAGGUCAGUUUUCCCUUUUUUUUUUUUUUUUUUUGGCUGACUUUUUGCAGGUACUCAAAGUGUUUCUUAAAUACUGUUAAAUACUGCAACAGUGGAAGCCUAAUCCACAUACCACAUUGCCAUUUCAAUUCAGAAUCACAUAGAACCUAUUUAUUGUCUCCCUCCCCCACCAUCCCUAGCAGUGACCUGUAAGGGGAAAACAAAAGAUCUUAGUCAAGAACUUUUUCACUAUAUUGUAAUUUGUUAUCUACAUAUCUAUUUUCCUCUAAUAAUGUGUUCUCCUUUAAGACGGAGGGGGAGAUUUGAUCUUUUUUGUGUCCCUUGAUCAGUUGCUGGACCACAGGAUAUGUUCAAUCAUAAACACUUGAUGAAUGAAUGAAUGAAUGAAUGAAUGGUUUGAAAUGGAAGGAAUCUUAAAAGAUCAUACAGCCCAGUUUCCACUGACUUUUAAAACACUUUACCUAGCAUUACCAACAAAUGGUCAGCUAUACUCCUUUUGGCCUCAUUAUCCUAUAGCAGAACACUCAGGGACCAUAAUUCUCUUCACCUGGUUUCAGAACUUAGGUUCAUUAGAAACCUUUUAUAACUGAAAUGUAUAUUUCAUUGAUUAUCUUUCACUGGGGUCUCUUACAUGCCUGCCUUCUGUUUUUCUUAAAUUGAACACAUCAUACUAGCAUAGGUCUUUCUAAAUUAAAAUUCAAAGAGCACUACCUUCAACACAUUUCAUCCCCAUUUACACUGGUUUUCACUGCCCGCAGUGAUUGCUCUGGCUAAGACUAUCAGCACUAUGCUGAAUAGAAAUGGUGAAAGUGGGCAGCCUUGUCUUGUUCCAUUUUCUUUUUCUGUUAGGUCCUUUCCUGAUUUUGGUGUUAGGGUGAUAAUGGAUUCAUAAAGUUAUUUGGGGAGGAUUCACCCUUUCUCUGUCUUUUGGAAUAGUGUCAAUAAGAUUGGUACCAAGUCUUCUUUGAAUGUCUGAUUGAAUUCAGCUGUG